rnacentral:rRNA from 1 species
UACGGAGGGUGCAAGCGUUAAUCGGAAUUACUGGGCGUAAAGCGUGCGCAGGCGGUUUUGUAAGACAGGCGUGAAAUCCCCGGGCUCAACCUGGGAAUGGCGCUUGUGACUGCAAGGCUGGAGUGCGGCAGGGGGGGAUGGAAUUCCGCGUGUAGCAGUGAAAUGCGUAGAUAUGCGGAGGAACACCGAUGGCGAAGGCAAUCCCCUGGGCCUGCACUGACGCUCAUGCACGAAAGCGGUGGGAGCAAACAGG